UGAGCCCGUGAGCUCCAGUUUCUACGUUUUUACUUGCAGUUGUUUCGGUUCUGGUUUCAUUCUUGUCUGCUGUCGUUUAUAGAAAACCUCCAACAUGAAGCCCCGGAUCUCUGAAACUCGUUAACUGACGGUUUACGUCUUUAAACGAAACAAACUGGACCUUCAACUGUCGGAGCCUCUCGAACUGUUCCUGUUAGCUCCAUGCUAGCUGCUCGGGCCGGUGAGCACCGGAUUUCUGACGAGAAAUGUGUGUUUUUCCAGAGGCCUAGAUGAGAGAAGAUGAUGAAUGAAGUGAAGGUGGAAGAGGAGGAAGGAGGAGACGAAGACACUAAGUCAGGAGAAAAGAGCUGAACUGGAAUAACUGCAGGUGGAUGGAACAGGAGGAUCUGAUAGGAGGAGAGACAGGUGGGAUCUGCUCUGACGUGGCUCCUGAUUGGUGGAGCUGCUCAGGUUCCAGCCUGAGAGAGAGAGGAAGAGUAGAGCUGCAGGAAGAAAAGAAGGCGGCCAUUUUCAACUAAUACAUUGAUAACGGCAUAAAGUGAAAGUUCAAGACAAUAACCUUUAAUUAAACAGAAACAUUAAACUGGAAGACAUUUUAAACAUACAAAAUAAAAGGCAGAAACCGGAAAUAAAACAGAAAUAAAAACCAAACAACUGAAACCAUCAGUGAAACAGAUUAAAGGUGAAAACAACAUUUUCUUUCAAGAAUAAGGAGCUGAGAUGUUAGUUUUACAAUUUGUUCGAUCAGAACGUUUUAGAAAGAUGAAUGAUAGAAAUGGGAAAGUCUGCAAAGAACCGGAUCAGAAUCUGGUC